CCCCAGCGCCACAAGUGGUCAUCGCGAUUAUUGGGCCUAAAGCGUUCGUAGCCGGAAUGGCAAAUCUCUUGUGAAAUUUGUUCGGCUUAACCGGACAGCGUGCAGGAGACACUAUCAUUCUCGAGACCGGGAGGCGUAAGAAGUAUUCCAUGGGGACUGGUAAAAUGGGAUAAUCCAUGGAAGACUACCGAUGGCGAAGGCAUCUUACGAGAACGGAUCGUGACGG
rnacentral:rRNA from 1 species